UACGGGGGGGGCAAGCGUUGUUCGGAAUUACUGGGCGUAAAGGGCUCGUAGGCGGCCAACUAAGUCCGACGUGAAAUCCCCAGGCUUAACCUGGGAACUGCGUCGGAUACUGGAUGGCUUGAAUCCGGGAGAGGGAUGCGGAAUUCCUGGUGUAGCGGUGGAAUGCGCAGAUAUCAGGAGGAACACCGGUGGCGAAGGCGGGUCUCUGGGCAGUAACUGACGCUGAGGAGCGAAAGCGUGGGGAGCGAACAGG
rnacentral:rRNA from 1 species